GCUGGAUCCCCUCCUUUCUAAGGAAAGAUUAAGAUCCAACACGCCUCACUAUUUAGUUUUGAGCGAGCGGAUAGGCCGGCGCGGGUGGAAGCGUGGAUACUUCAAGGUCAUCCCGAUGUCUGCUUGAUGAGGGGGCCUAUAGCUCAGUUGCGGUUAGGGCGCACGCCUGAUAAGCGUGAGGUCGGAAGUUCAACUCUUCCUAGGCCCACCAUCCAUUAAAGGGAUCGAGGGUUGGCGCCGGCCCGUUGAAUCGGGUGAUCGCUUUGGGUGAAGGGAUUACGGCCUCGAAAACCUUAAAGGGUUGACUCGAACGCCGGGUUCGCGAUAUAUCGAAUCGGAUCUCCCCAUGCAUGUGGGGGUGUAGCUCAGCUGGGAGAGCGCCUGCCUUGCACGCAGGAGGUCAUCGGUUCGAUCCCGUUCACCUCCACCACGUUAAGCAUCAGGGGUGAGCGGCUGGUCUAUCUGGCCGCUAACGUUUGGUGCUUAAGUGCUCUUUGACAACUGAAUAGGGUUUUUUUGUUUGAGCCGGCUUGCCGUCUUUAUGAUGGUCAAGCUACUAAGGGCAGACGGUGGAUGCCUUGGCGCUGAGAGGCGAUGAAGGACGUGGUUAGCUGCGAUAAGCUUCGGGGAGCCGCUAAACAGGCUUUGAUCCGGAGAUUUCCGAAUGGGGAAACCCGGAAGC
rnacentral:misc_RNA from 1 species